rnacentral:rRNA from 1 species
AGAAUUUUGGCUGUUCUAGUAUAAGCACUAUACAGUGAAACUGCGAAUGGCUCAUUAAAUCAGUUAUCGUUUAUUUGAUAGUACCUUACUACUUGGAUAACCGUGGUAAUUCUAGAGCUAAUACAUGCUAAAAAUCCCGACUUCGGAAGGGAUGUAUUUAUUAGAUAAAAAACCAAUGCCUUUACGGGCUCCUUGGUGAUUCAUAAUAACUCAACGAAUCGCAUGGCCUUGCGCCGGCGAUGGUUCAUUCAAAUUUCUGCCCUAUCAACUUUCGAUGGUAGGAUAGUGGCCUACCAUGGUUUCAACGGGUAACGGGGAAUUAGGGUUCUAUUCCGGAGAGGGAGCCUGAGAAACGGCUACCACAUCCAAGGAAGGCAGCAGGCGCGCAAAUUACCCAAUCCCAAUUCGGGGAGGUAGUGACAAUAAAUACUGAUACAGGGCUCUUUUGGGUCUUGUAAUUGGAAUGAGUACAAUUUAAAUCUCUUAACGAGGAACAAUUGGAGG